AAUCAACGCUGGCGGCGUGCCUAACACAUGCAAGUCGAACGCGAAAGCCCGCAAGGGUAAGUAGAGUGGCGCACGGGUGAGUAACACGUGGACAACCUGCCUUCGAGUGGGGAAUAACCUUCCGAAAGGAGGGCUAAUACCGCAUAACACCUCGGGACACAAGUUCUGGGGUUGAAAAGAGCAAUUUGCUCGAAGAGGGGUCCGCGCCUGAUUAGCUAGUUGGUGAGGUAACGGCUCACCAAGGCUUCGAUCAGUAGCCGUCCUGAGGA
rnacentral:rRNA from 1 species